GAAGGAAGGAAGGAAGGAAGGAAGGAAGGAAGGAAGGAAGGAAGGCAGGAAGGAAGGAAGGAAGGAUCCAGAAGGUAGGCAGACGAUGCAGGAGCUCCAGCUUCCCGCUCCAGCUUGGGCUCUCGAAAUCCUCACAGCGUUGGAGGACACGUCUCAGACCUCUGACUCGGCAAUCUCUGAGAGAAUGAAAAGAGUUUUGCUUGCGGUCUGUCCCUGGAAGCCUGGGGGGUCAGGACAAGGACAGCAUAUGCUCCCAAGCUGCAGCCUGGGAAGGCUAUAUCUGGGAAGCAGAACACUCCUGCCCGCAGAGACAGGACGGAGUGACGGCGUGGUGGAGAGGAGAGGGCUUCUGGCAGCAGAGGUUUGACAAAGCAUUUAACGACGUGAGGAGCCACAAGAGGAAUGUCACGUCGCAGGGAGAAUUUCCGACAGCUUCCCCCCCCCCCCCCCGCCCCAACCCCCUGUAUUUUGGGGUUGUCCCUCAGCACGCCCGGAGCCGAUGGCGAACGAGACGCCAGGUUAAGUGCAGGACGGUUGAGACGACAACUGUUAUGUCGGGGUUUAAUUUUGACAAAGCCUUAUUUAUGGGCGAGCUGCUGGCCCCGAGAUGAUUAUUUUUCAGGCACUACAAAACAAACCGGAGCAGCGGCCAGACAUGUAUUUACUGGAGGGGGAGGGGAAGGGGACUUGUUUGCUCUGUGUGUGUGUGCUGGCUGCAUGCUUUUUUAUUCCUGCCAUGUAAGAAUCCGGUUUCCAAAUAACAAUGGCAGGGAGGGUUUUGGGGUUGGGUUUUUAUUUUUUUUUUUCCUUUCUUCCUGGGUUGUUUUUGUUUCUUUUUCAAGAGACAAGGAAAACUCCUGAAGCAUCUGCUCUCGGGCGCACAUUCACAACACACACACAUCGAGUCCUCUGCUCCAGCACAAGUGGUUUAAAAGCUCCCCCCAAAACCCCUUUCCUCCUCUAUUUUAAUUUUUGUUUUAUUUAUUUAUUUGCAUUUUCUCCCAGCUGCGGUGACUUGAAUUUGAUUCUCCUCUCGCUCCCUUUAUCGAUCACGGGCUUCAUCUGCUUUAGCCGAAAAGGGGGAAGGGGCUGCAGGAUGCGCGAGUUCAUCCCUCCUUCUGCCACAACCUAAAAAA